rnacentral:rRNA from 1 species
GACGGGUGAGUAGUGUCUGGGAAACUGCCUGAUGGAGGGGGAUAACUACUGGAAACGGUAUCUAAUACCGCAUAACGUCGCAAGACCAAAGAGGGGGACCUUCGGGCCUCUUGCCAUCGGAUGUGCCCAGAUGGGAUUAUCUAAUAGGUGGGGUAACGGCUCACCUAGGCGACUAUCCCUAUGUGGUCUGAGAGGAUGACCACCCACUCUGGAACUGAGACACGGCCCACACUCCUACGGGAGGCAGCAGUGGGGAAUAUUGCACAAUGGGCGCAAGCCUGAUGCACCCAUGCCGCGUGUAUGAAAAAGGCCUUCGGGUUGUAAAGUACUUUCAGCGGGGAGGAAGGGAGUAAAGUUAAUACCUUUGCUCAUUGACGUUACCCGCAAAAAAAGCACCGGAUAUCUCCGUGCCAGCAGCCGCGGUAAUACGGAGGGUGCAAGCGUUAAUCGGAAUUACUGGGCGUAAAGCGCACGCAGGCGGUUUGUUAAGUCAUAUGUGAAAUCCCCGGGCUCAACCUGGGACUGCAUCUGAUACUGGCAAGCUUGAGUCUCGUAGAGG